CUUCCGGCUCUUUGAAGGAGUGCCGCCAGAAGGGAAGGGACGCGAGCCGCGUUUCGGUGUCACCCCGACCGUUUGCAGUCCCCAUUUGUAUAUGAGGUCACUCCGACUUUCAUAGAAACAAACUUCGUGAAAGGAGAUCUAAAAGGAUGUUAAUGGUUCCUGGAAUAUUGCGUAGGCCCUGUUUCCAAACUCCUACCCAUUGCCGGCCGAAGACACUCCUCCAGAGGGAUUUUAAGCGGAAGGAGAGAGCACUUUCCAGCAGAUUUGAGAGGUGGUGGUGCUGAUGGGGCUGGGUGCUUAGGGGAACGCAGCCUGCAGUCACCUGAAGCCUGGCUUUCAUGUAUUAGGAAAAUUAUCGUUCCUUGCCCCGGCCCCUUCCGAAUUUUCACUUGCUGCACAGAGGAUAGGCUCGGCCUCAAGGAGUUGCGGUUCACUGGGGAGACUGACAAGCGGAAUCAAUGGGAUGAGCUCUAAAUCCUCUGACAGAGGAGUAACAAGGAAGGUAGCGCCACACAAGUCAGAACAAGUAAGAGGCUUCCACACAAAUGUCAGAAAAGCAGCAGAAUUCAAGAGGCCCAGAUUGGACCUACAAGGCCAGGAUACCUUGCAGGAGGAAGGCUGGUCACAUUUGGGAACACAUUUCCAGAAACCUGCAUGCUUCCCGACUUGGUCUCUGUUGGCAUCUGUACCUGCAAAGAGUAGACAAGACUGUGACCUUCAAAGGGACAUUUAGGAAAAGGGUCAUUGGGGUGAUCUGGACAAUGGAAGCAGAAUGUGUCUUGCCUUUCGCCUGUAUUAAGCUAGAGCAUUAAGGAAACCUGAAGCACGGUGCCGUAUAAUUUCAGAGGCAUGGCUUUGUUCAUGUGUUUCUUUAAUACCCAUUCUGCGCACUGUGAACUGACCUCCUGCUUUAGGAGCAGGGGCUUAUCUCUCCUGAACUUCAGGUGCUGGCUUUAGUUGAAUGAACAAAUCGGGGUAGUGUGUUGCUCUUUUUAUAAGGAUUGCCAGAGUUAAUUCAGCAAACACAAAUUCAGUUAGAAGAGUGUGUGACACAUGCUUAGUGCUCAAUGAACAUUUGUUGUUGAUACUAGUGUAACAAUGACUGGCUCCAUCCGAGGAAACCUGGACUUGUUUCAGUGGUUAUGUGAUACCAUGCUUUCUUCUUGGAUGGGGGUGAAGAAGCAUGUGUACCUGAUGCCAUCUUUCCACCUUGAGGGGAGCCAGCCCAACCACAUGACUGAUGAACAAGGAGGGGCAGAAGAGGCCACACCCUGAUCAGACCAUUCCUGCAGUCUGCUACCUCUGGACCUUUCAGUUGUUGGAGAUAAAUACAUCCCAUUUGUUACUUCA